ACGGAAGGCAGCAGUGGGGAAUAUUGGACAAUGGGGGGAACCCUGAUCUAGCGACGCCGCGUGAGUGAAGAAGUAUUUCGGUAUGUAAAGCUCUAUCAGCAGGGAAGAAAAUGACGGUACCUGACUAAGAAGCCCCGGCUAACUACGUGCCAGCAGCCGCGGUAAUACGUAGGGGGCAAGCGUUAUCCGGAUUUACUGGGUGUAAAGGGAGCGUAGACGGCAAUGCAAGUCUGAAGUGAAAUCCCGCGGCUCAACUGCGGAGCUGCUUUGGAAACUGCAUAGCUGGAGUGUCGGAGAGGUGAGUGGAAUUCCCAGUGUAGCGGUGAAAUGCGUAGAUAUUGGGAGGAACACCGGAGGCGAAGGCGGCUCACUGGACGAUAACUGACGUUGAGGCUCGAAAGCGUGGGGAGCAAACAGGAUUAGAUACCCUGGUA
rnacentral:rRNA from 1 species